UACAGAGGGUGCGAGCGUUAAUCGGAUUUACUGGGCGUAAAGGGUGCGUAGGCGGUUGUAUAAGUGGAAUGUGAAAGCCCUGGGCUCAACCUAGGAAGUGCAUACCAUACUAUACGGCUGGAGUAUAUGAGAGGGUGGUGGAAUUUCCGGUGUAGCGGUGAAAUGCGUAGAGAUCGGAAGGAACGUCAAUGGCGAAGGCA
rnacentral:rRNA from 1 species